GUGAUGAUUUGUGUGAGGUUGUUGCCACAGAGUUAGGAGCCGAGCCCACAAGCGCUUGAAUCGGUUGGACGCAAGUCAUCCUUAUUUCCUUCCCGUAGCAUACAUGUCCAGCUUGGCUUGCUCAAUGGGAGGACUUAAUUUGACCACGUUGGAAUUGUGGCACUAUGUGUGACCUGGCGCAAAUGGGGCCUUCCUAUCUAUCUUUGUGGGUCCAUGUACUUUCAUUGCUUCUUAGCUUAGAAAAAACAAAAAAAUAGAAAACAAGAAAAAAAGAACAAAAAA